AGAUGUGAGGGCGAUCUGGCUGUGACAUCUGUCACCCCACUGAUCGCCAGGGCUGAUUCGGCUGAGCUGGCUGGGCCGGCGUCCCCCUCCUCCCUCACCGCUCCACGCGCGUCCCUUCCGAAGCUGCGUGCUCGGGGGAAGAGGACGACCAUCGACGGAGGAAGACAGUUCUUCACUCAGGGGUACGUGGCCGCGCUCCCCGCCACAGCCUCCAAACGAGCUCUGGAGGUCCGCUGCAGGAGGGCGGAGGGGGCUACAUUCCCACUCCAGGCACAUCCCGAUCAGGUGCCACACAUGGCGGUCUGCCCUUCUGU
rnacentral:snRNA from 1 species